rnacentral:rRNA from 1 species
GACGAACGCUGGCGGCGUGCUUAACACAUGCAAGUCGAACGGAAAGGCCCUGCUUUUGUGGGGUGCUCGAGUGGCGAACGGGUGAGUAACACGUGAGUAACCUGCCCUUGACUUUGGGAUAACUUCAGGAAACUGGGGCUAAUACCGGAUAGGAGCUCCUGCUGCAUGGUGGGGGUUGGAAAGUUUCGGCGGUUGGGGAUGGACUCGCGGCUUAUCAGCUUGUUGGUUGGGUAGUGGCUUACCAAGGCUUUGACGGGUAGCCGGCCUGAGAGGGUGACCGGCCACAUUGGGACUGAGAUACGGCCCAGACUCCUACGGGAGGCAGCAGUGGGGAAUAUUGCACAAUGGGCGGAAGCCUGAUGCAGCAACGCCGCGUGUGGGAUGCCGGCCUUCGGGUUGUAAACCGCUUUCGCCUGUGACGAAGCGUUAGUGACGGUAAUGGGUAAAGAAGCACCGGCUAACUACGUG